GACGAACGCUGGCGGCGUGCUUAACACAUGCAAGUCGAACGGAAAGGCCUGCUUUCCCUUGUGGAUUGCGGGUACUCGAGUGGCGAACGGGUGAGUAACACGUGAGUGAUCUGCCCCCAACUUGGGUAUAAGCCCGGGAAACUGGGUCUAAUUCCCGAUAGGACCGCAGGGUGGUGCCUGUGGUGGAAAACGAUUUUCUAGUGGUUGGGGAUGAGCUCGCGGCCUAUCAGCUUGAUGGUGGGGUAAUGGCCUACCAAGGCGGCGACGGGAAGCCGGCCUGGGAGGGUGUACGGCCACAUUGGGACUGAGAUACGGCCCGGACUCCUACGGGGGGCAGCAGCGAGGAAUAUUGCACAAGGGGCGGAAGCCUGAUGCAGCGACGCCGCGUGGGGGAUGACGGACUUCGGGUUGUAGACUCCUUUCGACGGCGAGGAAGCCACCUGGUUGGAAGGGUGGUGACGGUAGUGGGAGAAGAAGCGCCGGCUAACUACGUG
rnacentral:rRNA from 1 species